GUAGGUGGCAAGCGUUGUCCGGAAUUAUUGGGCGUAAAGCGCGCGCAGGCGGUUCCUUAAGUCUGAUGUGAAAGCCCACGGCUCAACCGUGGAGGGUCAUUGGAAACUGGGGGACUUGAGUGCAGAAGAGGAGAGCGGAAUUCCACGUGUAGCGGUGAAAUGCGUAGAGAUGUGGAGGAACACCAGUGGCGAAGGCGGCUCUCUGGUCUGUAACUGACGCUGAGGCGCGAAAGCGUGGGGAGCAAACAGGAUUAGAUACCCUGGUAGUCCACGCCGUAAACGAUGAGUGCUAAGUGUUAGAGGGUAUCCGCCCUUUAGUGCUGUASSUAACGCAUUAAGCACUCCGCCUGGGGAGUACGCUCGCAUAGAGUG
rnacentral:rRNA from 1 species